rnacentral:tRNA from 1 species
CCGCCAGUAGCGUAGUGGUUAUCGCACCAGACUGGUAUUCUGGAGGUUGGGGGUUCGGAUCCCACCUGGCGGG